GCUGCCUUCGCCAUGGAUGUUCCUCCUGAUCUCUACGCAUUUCACUGCUACACCAGGAAUUCCGCUACCCUCUACCACACUCUAGUCGCCCAGUAUCCACUGCAGUUCCCAGGUUGAGCCCAGGGCUUUCACAACGGACUUAAACGACCACCUACGCACGCUUUACGCCCAGUAAUUCCGAGUAACGCUUGCACCCUUCGUAUUACCGCGGCUGCUGGCACGAAGUUAGCCGGUGCUUAUUCUUUGGGUACCGUCAUCCCAACCGGGUAUUAGCCAGCUGGAUUUCUUUCCCAACAAAAGGGCUUUACAACCCGAAGGCCUUCUUCACCCACGCGGUAUGGCUGGAUCAGGCUUGCGCCCAUUGUCCAAUAUUCCCCACUGCUGCCUCCCGUAGGAGUCUGGACCGUGUCUCAGUUCCAGUGUGGCUGAUCAUCCUCUCAGACCAGCUACGGAUCGUCGCCUUGGUGGGCCUUUACCCCGCCAACUAGCUAAUCCGACAUCGGCUCAUUCAAUCGCGCAAGGUCCGAAGAUCCCCUGCUUUCACCCGUAGGACGUAUGCGGUAUUAGCGUAAGUUUCCCUACGUUAUCCCCCACGACAGAGUAGAUUCCGAUGUAUUCCUCACCCGUCCGCCACUC
rnacentral:rRNA from 1 species